CCGGAAACGGAAAGUAAAGAGGGAACGCGGUGCAAAUCCGCGGCAGCCCCCGCUACUGUGAGGCGGAGCGCGCGUCGAGGGCCACUGUUCGAAAAGAGCGGGAAGGCGGCGCAAGCGAGGAAGCCGAGCCAGGAAACCUGCCCGGGCG
rnacentral:ncRNA from 1 species